rnacentral:rRNA from 1 species
CCUACGGGAGGCUGCAGUGGGGAAUAUUGCACAAUGGGGGAAACCCUGAUGCAGCAACGCCGCGUGAGUGAAGAAGUAUUUCGGUAUGUAAAGCUCUAUCAGCAGGGAAGAAGAUGACGGCACCUGAAUAAGAAGCCCCGGCUAACUACGUGCCAGCAGCCGCGGUAAUACGUAGGGGGCAAGCGUUAUCCGGAUUUACUGGGUGUAAAGGGAGCGCAGACGGCAGUGCAAGUCUGGAGUGAAAGCCCGGGGCCCAACCCCGGAACUGCUCUGGAAACUGUGCGGCUAGAGUACUGGAGGGGCAGGCGGAAUUCCUAGUGUAGCGGUGAAAUGCGUAGAUAUUACACAGAACACCGAUUGCGAAGGCAUCUCACGAAUCCGCGAUUGACGCUGAUGCACGAAAGCGUGGGUAUCAAACAGGAUUAGAUACCCCAGUAGUC